rnacentral:lncRNA from 1 species
CAAGAGAUGGACACAGCCAGUUAGGGGAUGGAACGGAAUUUACAAAGGUGGGAAGGGCAUGGGAGGAUGGGAAGGUGGGAUCCGCGUGCCCGGGAUCUUCCACUGGCCCGGGGUGCUCCCAGCCGGCCGAGUGAUUGGAGAGCCCACGAGCCUGAUGGACGUGUUCCCUACUGUGGUCCAGCUGGUGGGUGGCGAGGUGCCCCAGGACAGGUACGUGGAGAUAAGGCUGCCUGUUCCCUGAU